rnacentral:rRNA from 1 species
GAUGAACGCUGGCGGCGUGCCUAAUACAUGCAAGUCGAGCGAAUGGAUUAAGAGCUUGCUCUUAUGAAGUUAGCGGCGGACGGGUGAGUAACACGUGGGUAACCUGCCCAUAAGACUGGGAUAACUCCGGGAAACCGGGGCUAAUACCGGAUAACAUUUUGAACCGCAUGGUUCGAAAUUGAAAGGCGGCUUCGGCUGUCACUUAUGGAUGGACCCGCGUCGCAUUAGCUAGUUGGUGAGGUAACGGCUCACCAAGGCAACGAUGCGUAGCCGACCUGAGAGGGUGAUCGGCCACACUGGGACUGCGACACGCCCCAGACUCCUACGGGAGGUAGCAGUAGGGAAUCUUCCGCAAUGGACGAAAGUCUGACGGAGCAACGCCGCGUGAGUGAUGAAGGCCUUCGGGUCGUAAAACUCUGUUGUUAGGGAAGAACAAGUGCUAGUUGAAUAAGCUGGCACCUUGACGGUACCUAACCAGAAAGCCACGGCUAACUACGUGCCAGCCGCCGCCGUAA